rnacentral:lncRNA from 1 species
AUGGAUCAUUUAUGUCUGCACAGAUUACAUGUUUGUACUAUAAAAAAUCUGCACAACUCCAUUCACCAGAAAGCUUUAAGACCAAAAAGGAGGUUAUCUACUACUUGUAAUCAGAAAAAAAGACACUCUAGCUGUUUGACCCUUGGUUCGCUAUCAGAAGCCUCCAGGUCCAAGUUGGCUGGUUAUGUGGCGGUUGAAACUCCAGAUGGUCCUUUGAGGGUGCCAGCUCGGUGCAUUCGACCACAUCAUGUCGUGGCCUUGACGUCUGACCACUCCAAUCCCAGACUUCAACUCACGCCAGAACAGUCCCAGGAUGACACCAAUGGAACAGAGACGGCAACAGCAGGAGCCUCAGCUGCCACCUGUGACAUGGGGGGCUCUUAAGAACUUAUCGGCACAGGCCACAAGACUUUUAGAAUCCACUCAGGCAGAACCAACACCUGAGAAUUACAUGGCGGCAGUUGUCACUGCAUUGAAUUUAAUUCCUAUGUAACCGAAUUUUAAUUCCUAUAACCAUUUUAAUGUGUUUUCUUUGUAUCUCUCCACUUAAUUGUACCACAUUUCAAAAUGUUUCUUUUAAUUAUGCUCAUGUGAAACUUCCUAUACCUUUAAUUAUGCUCCAUCAAAUCUUACAGAUGGGACACAAUGCUGCUUAAGUAGGCUUGUGCCAGUCUUUCCUCAAAAGACAGAUUUAGUUCAUAACAUUACUCGUAUCACAAAAAGGGCUACAGCAACUCUGUCAAUCUUAUACUCAAAAGCUGAAUAUUCUGCUCUUAUUUUUGUAGGCUUACCAGCUAUGGUAAAAGUAAAUGCUCGCAACACUGCACGAAUUGCCUGCUCAUUAGCAAAAGUCUGUUAACUCUUUUCAUGUUCUCAUGCAUUUCCAAAACAAAAUCACUAUCACCUCGACAAAUUUAAUCAUCGGCGGUCAGAAAAGGGGGAGAUGUAAGGGUCUUACUGGAAGCAUCGGCACACCGUGUGAAAAGUAAGGUCACAUUGACCCCGAUUCAGAGCCAAAGUAAUCACCUCAUCCUGCCUUAAUUGGGAAUACAUCACCUUUGCCUUAAUCUUGAGCCAAAAAGCAUGAGAGACAAAAACAUAUGAGCACAUCGCUUCACUGAGAUAACGCUUGCUCGUUACUGCUAGCUUAGCUUCGCUGAGAUCACUCUAGCUUGUUAUCAGCUCGUUAGCACAAAAGGUAAACAAUCAUGCUAUCUCUGUAUUAUAAAAUAAACCCCUCACAGCAGUGUGUGAGACUUCUUCU